AGUAGAAAAUUGAUGAGAAAUACUUCUACCUGUAGUCACAGAUUGCUGCAACCUACCUUUAAUAAGGGUUCAACCUCUCUUCUAGCUCACGAUCCUGCAGAAAGAGUGUAAGAGAAGAGUUAUUAGGCUGUGAGGGAAGUGGACCUGCUAGUAAUAGUUCUUUGAGGGCUGGCUUGAUCUUCUUUUUCAGUGGUUCAGUCCUGUAGCAAACAUUAAACAUGACUCAGCAGCUGCAGACCAGUUCUCUAGGCAUGAAGACACAACACACGAAACGGCAGUUACAGUCCAAGUCCUCUUGGCUGGCAGACACCAUGCACGAACCAGAACCAACAACUAUAGUUCAAUCCUGAAGGAACUGCCAGGCUUGCCCACUGGCCUGACACAAGGCCACCGAAGCAGCAAGCCGCUGAAGGAACCUCAUGAGCAAUUCUUGGGCGAGUUUCUCUCUAUGGCAGUGUUAUCACAAGGUGAUCUCAACGAUGCUAUGUAAAGCGAACCAAAACGUGUGUCCUUAGCAAAGAGGCAGAGCAGACUAAACCAACGCUCAGUGCUUGUCUUUCACCGUCUGGCGGGUCCUAUGUACGUCUUCAUCAAGGGUCCUUUCACGUGUUUGGUAUAUCAAAACACUCUUUCACUUGGGUCUGCUUCAGGAAAACAUAUUCUUUCCUGUGUCUGCUUCAGCAAAACGUCCUUUCACCUGUAUCUGCUUCAGGAAAACAUUCUUUCACGUGUCGGCUUUAGCAAGACAUCCUUUCACCUGUGUGCCCCUGAAAAGAGUCAUUUGACAUAAUUGACUUUCCAAAGAAACCAGAAGUUUCCUUUUCAUGUACCAGAGAAGGUCUGAAGUAUAUAUGAUGUUUCCCUGCAUAUUCUUCCUGCCAGGAACAAAGCCACAUUUCCCUGAUUUCCCUGCUAUGAAGGAUUGAAGACUAAUCCAUAAGUCCAAAUACCUUUCUCUCCAUAGACUGUUCAGUAUUUCAUCACUAAAUGUAAAAGUACUAAGUACAUAAACUUCACACCGGAGUGGGGAAUUGAUAUGCUGUAAGAAUGUGAAAGAAUCUGGAGAUAUGGGGCAGAGGAAGCUAGAAUAACGUGUGACGAGCCAUUACGGCAGAUCUCAGAAAAUGCAAAGAAAGAAUGUAUUCAUGCGGUUUCAGCUGAGAGCAAGGGCUACACUGGGAACUGGGCUAGAAGCUAUUUAUCCGUGCUGCACUCUCACAAAUGACCUGACUGUGGUAGAUCUGACUGUCCUGAAAAAUCUGAAUAGGGCUGAACCAAAAGUACUAAAUUGGUCUAUUUGAAAGAGAACAUUCCAAGAUAACAUGAUGUUCAGUUUGUACCAUUGUUA